rfam:Postia placenta Mad-698-R POSPLscaffold_10_Cont909, whole genome shotgun sequence.
GCGUGAAUGGGGUAGUGGUAACCUUGGUCGUUGCCAAAUCAGCUAUCUCGACCAGCCAGGGGUUCGAUUCCCCUUUCACGCA